rnacentral:rRNA from 1 species
ACGGAGAAGGAUAGCUCAGCAGGCUGCAUGGUUUGCCUGUUCAAGCCCGUAGGCUGAAUUGCUAGGACCCAAUAGGGACAAACGGCGAUUCAUUAAGGCCGAGAGGUGAUGAGGUCUAGCCCUAGGCUAGGACACUGAGUAAUUCCACGCUUCCUAGAAAAGCCGCGUACGGAGCCCCUUUGGUGAUCGUACUGCAAACCGACUCAGGUGGACGGGGUGAAUAUCCCAAGGCGCGUGAGAGAACCCUGGUUAAGGAUCUCGGCAAAUUGACACCGUAACUUCGGGAGAAGGUGUGCCGCUGGCGGUUAGUGACUUCGCGUCACGAAGCUGUCGGUGGUCGCAGUGAAAUGGCGGUUGUGACUGUUUACUAAAAACACAGACUCUGCGAAGUCGUAAGACGACGUAUAGGGUCUGAUGCCUGCCCGGUGCUGGAAGGUUAAGGGGAUAUGUCAGCGCAAGCGAAGCAUUGAACCGAAGCCCCAGUAAACGGCGGCCGUAACAAUAACGGUCCUAAGGUAGCGAAAUUCCUUGUCGGGUAAGUUCCGACCUGCACGAGGGCAUAACAACAUACGCACUGUCUCGACCAGGGACUCAGCGAAAUUACAUUGGGGGUGAAGAUGCCCUCUACCCGCGGAAAGACGGAAAGACCCCAUGAACCUUUACUGCAACUUGGCAGUGAUUUUCGGGUUGUUCUGCGUAGGAUAGGUGGGAGGCUUUGAAGCCGGGCUUCCGGGUUCGGCAGAGCCAACGUUGAAAUACCACCCUGAAUAAUCUGGAAAUCUAACCUGCGCCCAUGAUCUGGGCGAGGGACACUGCCUGGUGGGCAGUUUGACUGGGGCGGUCGCCUCCUAAAUUGUAACGGAGGCGUGCGACGGUUCCCUCAGGCUGAUUGGAAACCAGCCGUAGAGUGCAAACGCAUAAGGGAGCUUUACUGCGAGACUGACAAGUCGAACAGUUGCGAAAGCAGGUGUUAGUGAUCCGGUGGUACCACAUGGAAGGGCCAUCGCUCAUCGGAUAAAAGGUACUCUGGGGAUAACAGGCUGAUCGCGCCUGAGAGUUCACAUCGGCGGCGCGGUUUGGCACCUCGAUGUCGGCUCAUCGCAUCCUGGGGCUGGAGCAGGUCCCAAGGGUUUGGCUGUUCGCCAAUUAAAGCGGUACGCGAGCUGGGUUUAAAACGCCGUGAGACAGUUUGGUCCCUAUCUUCCGUGGGCGCAGGACACUUGAGAGGAGCUAUCCAUAGUACGU